AAGGAAAUUAGGUUAAAACAGACCAAGAGCCUUCAAAGCCCUAAGUAAAUAAACUAAUAUUUAUUUCCUG
rnacentral:tRNA from 2 species